rnacentral:rRNA from 1 species
GACGAACGCUGGCGGCGUGCCUAACACAUGCAAGUCGAACGAGGUCCAAGGGAGCUUGCUCCCUGAAGACCUAGUGGCGAACGGGUGAGUAACACGUGAGAAACCUGCCCUCGAGUGAGGAAUAACCCGGGGAAACCCGGGCUAAUACCGCAUACGCUCCUCUGGUCGCAUGGUCGGAGGCGGAAAGUUUUUCGCUCAAGGAGGGCCUCGCGGCCUAUCAGCUUGUUGGCGGGGUAACGGCCCACCAAGGCUACGACGGGUAGCUGGUUUGAGAGAACGAUCAGCCACACUGGGACUGAGACACGGCCCAGACUCCUACGGGAGGCAGCAGUGGGGAAUCUUGCGCAAUGGGCGAAAGCCUGACGCAGCAACGCCGCGUGCGGGAUGACGGCCUUCGUGGUUGUAAACCGCUUUCAGCAGGGACGAAAAUGACGGUACCUGCAGAAGAAGCUCCGGCUAACUACGUGCCAGCCGCCGCGGUAA